AUAGAUCAGACGACAGUGUGAACGCCGCUCUGGGAUUAUUCUGGAAACCACGAACUUGGAUUAAUGUGUCCGUGAUGAAACUAAGUGACCGUUUUCAGAAGUUCGAAACAAGAAACGCUGAGCAAACUAGAGGACUAGUAGGAUGAGACCUGUUGUAACAGUGAUUAUGAGGUGAAGGGGAUGAGAGUACCACUCAGCCACCCCUGCCUAUCUGCUGCACUGUCGACUGCUGGUGCAAAGUGAAGGCUUCCUUGUAAGGACUGAUGCCGCUGCGUGUGUCCUCCGCCAUUCGGGUGGGUGGAUGGGUGGACUUGAUUUGCUUACAGAAAGAGAGGUGCUUCAAUGGAAGCCAAGACAGCACCCAGGUGGCUGUGUGUGUAAGAGAAAGAGAGUGGAAGGUUCAAAGUGAGACGCCUAAAGGCUGUUUAGUGAAGUCCUACGUCACUGGCAAGCUGGCCUGUCAUUUUACCUGGAGACCCCGUCACAACACACUCGAAUCUUGAUCUUGUGCGGCCAGUUCUUGUUCUUACUGCAGCAAUGUCAGCUGAGCUGAGCCGCCUCGGGCCAGCUGCUUGGACUAGGUGAUAACCCACUGAUCACUAAAAGAAAGUUAAAGUUUUCUGUCAGGAAAUUUUGUAGCAGACAAACGUUUGUACAACGUAAAUUAUAUUCACCUGAGCCAGUUCCUUGUUUUCACAUGAGACAGUUCCUUAUUCUCAGAUUCUCUCCUUCAUCAAUCAACACUUACACUGAUCGUGUCUCUCUGACCUAUGACCUCUGCCGUGUGUGGAACUGCGGGUGAAGAAAUAUCUCAAGAUCUGCAUUUUGAAGUUUGUAUUGGCGUGAUAGCUUGUUACUAAAAAAGUUGACUGCCUGCAGGGUCAAACGUGUGAAAAGUGUGUCAUAAAUUAAAAACAUGAAUGUUCAAAAGAUUGGCAGCAACCAUAGUGCAGGAUAAUCCAGAUUUACUCAACUGUCUGUCUACUAACAAGAGGACGCUACAGCAAGCCUGCCAGAAUACUAACGACAGAAGAGGAAAGCCGAUAAAGGGAUCUUACUACUUUGUUCUACACCGACCAAAGUGUGGUUAGAAAAUAUAGUUUAAACCUGGAUAUUUGUCAGAAAAUCAAUGGAAGCAAGAUACCUGCUUGUGGUUCGAUUCUCAGCACUGCUGUUGCUGUCGGCGUUUGUGUGCUACAUAGUAGGCUUUGCACUCCCUGGUGGCUCAAGGGUCGGCACAUUGAGAUCACCGCUGGCUUGUGGCAAAACUGCAUCGGAUCGCAUUGUGCCUCGACGCUGAAUGGUGAAACAGGCGACUGGCUGUCAGCGUGCCAGGCUUUGACCAUAUCAGCACUGCUGACGUCACUGAUGGCGCUGGGCGUGUCGGCCAUCAUGGUGCGGGCAUCACGGGAGAAUACGCUGUCCGCAGCCAGAUACGGUACCAUUGCCACCAGCCUGUUUACAGGAGCAUCGAUAGUGACUUCUCUAGUUCUCUACUACGUUUGCAGUGAGGAGAAGUAUCCUCGAGAGUUCUACGGUCUAUCUUUGUCCUUUAUUUUGGUUGCUGUUGGCGGAGGCGUGUUUCUGUGUGUUGCCUCUCGUGCUGGGCAUUGACGCUGUGACCUCAAAACUACGUCACGUAAACGCCACGUCGUCGUGACCUCCGCCACUGGUUAGGGAUCGUGACCAGCGAAAUGUGUCUGUGACACUUUCUGCACUCUCUGAAAAAACAAACAGAAAGCCAACUCCAGCCAUUGUAACUGGCUGUCACCCUCGAUAUCCAUAUUGUUGUAUCUCUCCAGUCUAAGUAGAAGAAAGAAAGAAUUUAUAUGUCUGUUAAUCAUCAUCAUCAACAGCAACAACAACCUUGUCUUUAUCAUUUUCUCAUGUCUUGAAUGUUUUCUUGAUAUUUCACUGAUAGCAUCCUGAAGAAAGAUUUAUAUGUUAUAUCACUUUCACUGAGCUCUGUGUGUGCACGUGUGCGCGUGUGUGUGUGUGUUACUUAAUAUUGUUGAAGAUAUGAAUGUGAGUCAAAAGUCUGGAAUCAUCA